AGCUUUGUGCAGUGGCAGUAUCAUAGCCAAUGAGGUUUAUCCAAGGUGUGAUUAUCGCUAAUUGAAAUCAUAGAGAUAGACAAAUGCAGUACUCUACCACUGAGCUACAUCCCUACCUCCAUAGCACAUUCCACUACAAAUUUGAACAAUUUCUUAUUGUUUUCUGAGGGUAUUUCUGGAUAUGAACUGUAUUUG
rnacentral:snRNA from 1 species